UUCCGGUUGAUCCUGCCGGACCUGACUGCUAUCGGAUUAAUACUAUGCCAUGCGAGUUUUUGUAGUAAUACAAGGCAUACGGCUCAGUAACACGUAGUCAACCUACCCUAUGGACGAGGAUAAUCUCGGGAAACUGAGCAUAAUACUCGAUAGAUCAUAAUGCCUGGAAUGGUUUAUGGUUGAAAUGAUUCGUUCGCCAUAGGAUGGGACUGCGGCCUAUCAGCUUGUUGGUGGGGUAAUGGCCCACCAAGGCGAUUACAGGUACGGGCUCUGAGAGGAGAAGCCCGGAGAUGGGUACUGAGACACGGACCCAGGCCCUAUGGGGCGCAGCAGGCGAGAAAACUUUGCAAUGUGCGAAAGCACGACAAGGUUAGUCCGAGUGAUUUCUGCUAAAGAAAUCUUUUGCAAGUCAUAAAACCACUAGUGAAUAAGGGGUGGGCAAGUUCUGGUGUCAGCCGCCGCGGUAAAACCAGCACCUCAAGUGGUCAGGAGGAUUAUUGGGCCUAAAGCAUCCGUAGCCGGCUUUGUUAGUUUUCGGUUAAAUCCAUGCGCUCAACGUAUGGGCUGCCGAGAAUACUGCAUAGCUAGGGAGUGGGAGAGGUAGACGGUACUCGGUAGGAAGGGGUAAAAUCCUUUGAUCUAUCGAUGACCACCUGUGGCGAAGGCGGUCUACCAGAACACAUUCGACGGUGAGGGAUGAAAGCUGGGGGAGCAAACCGGAUUAGAUACCCGGGUAGUCCCAGCUGUAAACGAUGCAGACUCGAUGAUGCAUUGGCAUAUAGCCAGUGCAGUGUCGCAUGGAAGCCGUUAAGUCUGCCGCCUGUGAAGUACGUACGCAAGUAUGAAACUUAAAGGAAUUGGUCGGGGGGAGCACCACAUGGGGUGAAGCCUGCGGUUCAAUUGGAGUCAACGCCGG
rnacentral:rRNA from 1 species